UGAUCCUGGCUCAGAACGAACGCUGGCGGCAGGCCUAACACAUGCAAGUCGAGCGAGAUCUUCGGAUCUAGCGGCGGACGGGUGAGUAACGCGUGGGAAUAUGCCCUUCUCUACGGAAUAGCCUCGGGAAACUGGGAGUAAUACCGUAUACGCCCUUAGGGGGAAAGAUUUAUCGGAGAAGGAUUAGCCCGCGUUGGAUUAGGUAGUUGGUGGGGUAAUGGCCUACCAAGCCUACGAUCCAUAGCUGGUUUGAGAGGAUGAUCAGCCACACUGGGACUGAGACACGGCCCAGACUCCUACGGGAGGCAGCAGUGGGGAAUCUUAGACAAUGGGGGCAACCCUGAUCUAGCCAUGCCGCGUGAGUGAUGAAGGCCUUAGGGUUGUAAAGCUCUUUCAGCUGGGAAGAUAAUGACGGUACCAGCAGAAGAAGCCCCGGCUAACUCCGUGCCAGCAGCCGCGGUAAUACGGAGGGGGCUAGCGUUGUUCGGAAUUACUGGGCGUAAAGCGCACGUAGGCGGACCGGAAAGUUGGAGG
rnacentral:rRNA from 1 species